rnacentral:misc_RNA from 1 species
CAAAAAGGCCGGAGAAGAAGAGAUGAAGCAGAAAAGAAAGGUCUACGACGAUAGUUCUCUGGAGAGUUGCAGAUCUCCAGCAGAAAGGUUUUGCUUCCAUUUAUUGUAAACAUUCGUUUGCGUAUAGAUAUCCAGUAGAAAUUUCUGAUAAAACAUUCGUCUAUUUAGAGCUCAAUCUCGUUCUUCACUUGGAAAUCGUGAUGGGAUUUCGAAUGAUGUGUAAAUGAUUAAUUACGUUGAAUACUGAAUAGUCUCGUACUACUCGCAUUAAUCUCGUACUGCUGACUUUGGGCUUCGUUCUGGUUUUCGAAUGGUGAGUGUUCAAAAAGAGGCAAUUGCAUAAGUACGGAGCAUUAAGUCCAGUCCAGUCCAGACACAGUAAAUCCAACAACAAAAGUAAUACUUUUCAUUCUCCAGAGACUGAGCAUGGCAGAGAACAUGUUCUGAUAAUAAGCCGCAGAUGCACUGUCCUCAACAAAAGCACCAUCAGAAUCUGAUACCAGUAAAAGCCACUAAAUGGACUCUGUUUCAUCAAAGAGCUCUUUUGCUGGCACAAAGAAAGCUCUUUUACUGGCACAAAUGAUGGCUCAAAGACACAUCUGCAACACCCUCCAAGUUUUGACUAUGGAAUUUAAGCAAACAUCAACAUCACAUUUUCACCUAA